rnacentral:misc_RNA from 1 species
UACGGAGGGGGCUAGCGUUAUUCGGAAUUAUUGGGCGUAAAGGGCGCGUAGGCGGCCAAGUAAGUCAAAGGUGAAAUCCCUCGGCUCAACCGAGGAACUGCCUUUGAAACUACUUGGCUUGAGGCCGGGAGGGGGUAGCGGGAUUCCCAGUGUAGCGGUGAAAUGCGUAGAUAUUGGGAGGAACACCGGUGGCGAAGGCGGCUACCUGGACCGGUUCUGACGCUGAGGCGCGAAAGCUAGGGUAUCGAACGGG